GUAAGCGGAGGACAAGAGAACUAAACAGGAUCCCCAUAGUAAUGGCGAAUGAACAGGGAUGAGCUCAGCAUGGAAAUUGGGGCCUGUGGCUUUGACUUGUAAUCUUGUGAGGCAUUGCCAACAGAGGCGCAGAUGUAAGUCUCUUGGAAAAGAGCAUCAAUGAGGGUGAGAGUCCUGCUUGUCAUUUGCAGCCCCCCUGUGCACGGUGUGCCUUCUAAGAGUCACGUUCCUCGGGAUUGGAGCGCAAAGUGGGUGGUAACUUUCAUCUGAAGCUAAACAAUGGUUUGGGACCGAUAGGAAACAAGUACCAUGAGGGAAAGGUGAAAAGGACUUUGGAAAGAGAGUUAAAAGUGCCUGAAAUUGCUGAAGGGGAAGCGAAUGGAACCAGUGGUGCUGGGUGAGAUUGUCACAUGCUCCAGGGAUUGGUUGCUGCAUCAGCGCAAGCGAUCUGGCAAUUGUUGAACUGCACGUGUGUGGUGUGUCUUGCCUUGUGUGUCAUUGUGGGUUUAUGCAUUAAGACAAUUCAAAGUGCAUGGCAAUAUGUUUCUGAAUCUAUGAAUGUGAUUUGUUAUGUUUAUGCAUAAGCUUCUUGCUGUCUGUCUGGCUGCAGAGCUCGCCGUCCCCAUUUUUUUGGAGAGAUGAGUUGAGCAUUUCCUUCUGCACAGAUCUUGGCUAAAUGUUCUAUUCGACCGUC
rnacentral:rRNA from 1 species